UGUGCUGUGGCUUAGUUGGUUGAAGUGCCGUUCUAACGAUACGGAGUCGUGAGUUCGAACCCUAGCACAA
rnacentral:tRNA from 1 species